UAAUCCUUAUAAUAUCUUCGUCAUCCUCAACUAAAAUUGCUUCUAGUUUUGGAUACCUCAAGCAAGGUUAGCCAAAGAUUCCUUACAGGGACACAUUUAACUUGUGCCACAAACCUUGUCCGCAAUUGCAACCGAAGAUUCUCGUAUGAUUUUCAAGACGGUUGAUGCAACAGACCAUGACUUGAACAGUCUGUGAUGGCAACCGAGGAUUCUGCGAUGAUUUCCAAGAUGAAGGCUUUCAGUUGUCCAGGCCAGGCCAGGAGACCGAUGACAAUGAUAGAUCGGGUUCGAUUCAAGCUAUACGCUUGGUGUAUUUGGUUAUCGUGACUUACGACUGAGUCUAACUCACGUCAAUAGCGCGGUGGCUGGGUCCCAGGCAUGCUUGCCACUUUGUUCUGCGGUCCUCAUCUAAGUUUCGACGGUGAUGACAUGGACUUAGGUUCAGAGUACGUGUUCCCCUUGAGUCAUCGUGGUUGAUUGAUGUGGGUAAUUAGAGUUGCGUGUUGCUAGACAUUCAAUUGGUCCCCUUGUUUUAGAGUGUUGGCGGGAUAAGUCUUACGACUGUUAACAAUAGUAAGCAAUAGCUGGCCAGCGAUCCCCUACCUGAUCUCGAGGGGGAUGGAAUGACUGGGUUAAAGUCCUGUUGUUAACCUGCGGAAUUUCGUCGGACGAAAUGUCAGGCGUGUCCGUGUGGGAUUAGUGCUAAACCUGUUUAGUGCUUAUGACGAAGACAUUGGGUUCUUUGGAUAACAACAGUGUGCUUUACCUCCUUGUGCACCACAAAACUCAUAAAUACACCCGCUGAAAAUUGACACGACGGAGAAGAAGAAAGAGAGCCGGCCUCAGCUUGUCAGCCGAGAAGAGCACACAGUGGACCCCAAGAACAAAGAGUUGCAGCCAAUGAUUGAGCAAAAUGAGGCAAGAAUGCAAGGGACACAGGAUGCAAGGGACCAGGAUGCAAGGGACACAGGAUGCAAGGGACACAGGAUACAAGGGACACAGGAUACAAGGGACACACGGCAAGAAAAGUAGAGACUCCCCGAUGUCCAGAGACGAUGCCUUUGCCAGACCAAUUAAGGCAUGCAGAACCUUCUCAGAAAAGGAACGUGUUUGCUGCACAUGUGAAGUGGACACCUAAAGGAUCGUCAGUCACUCUGAAAGACUCUAAUGACCUAAAGGAUCGUCAGUCGCUCUGAAAGACUUUAAUGACAAUCUUUUGAGGACUCGGGGAAAGCUCCACUUAUGACAAGGCAAAAGGAUGCCACUGCAUGCAUGGUGAAGCAUCCAAGAGGGAGGAGGAUGUUGGCGAUCCAGCACAUCCCAGCCGUGCUCCCGGUGCCGUCAUGUCCGUCGUCAAGUGACAUGACGGCGGUUUUUAUGUAUUGUCAUCGUAGGCCUUAUUUUUUGAUAAUUUGUAUUGUAAACUUACAUAUCUGAUUGAAAGGUGAUUUAAUGAAAUUCUGAU